AUUGAACGCUGGCGGCAGGCCUAACACAUGCAAGUCGAACGAGUGGCGGACGGGUGAGUAAUGUCUGGGAAACUGCCUGAUGGAGGGGGAUAACUACUGGAAACGGUAGCUAAUACCGCAUACCAUCGGAUGUGCCCAGAUGGGAUUAGGUAGUGGGUGGGGUAAAGGCUCACCUAGGCGACGAUCCCUAGCUGGUCUGAGAGGAUGACCAGCCACACUGGAACUGAGACACGGUCCAGACUCCUACGGUAGGCAGCAGUGGGGAAUAUUGCACAAUGGGCGCAAGCCUGAUGCAGCCAGGCCGCGUGAAUGAAGAAGGCCUUCGGGUUGUAAAGUACUUUCGGCAGCGAGGCGUUACCUACAGAAGAAGCACCGGCUAACUCCGUGCCAGCAGCCGCGGUAAUUC
rnacentral:rRNA from 1 species